UCUAUGGUGGCGCCGGGCGGGGAGACCUUCGGGUCUGCCGGUCCCUUGGAGCCGGUUCGCCAACCCUGCCCGGUGGCUGCCACCC
rnacentral:antisense_RNA from 1 species